rnacentral:rRNA from 1 species
AGUUUGAUCAUGGCUCAGAUUGAACGCUGGCGGGAUGCUUUACACAUGCAAGUCGGACGGCAGCACGGGCUUCGGCCUGGUGGCGAGUGGCGAACGGGUGAGUAAUGUAUCGGAACGUGCCCAGUAGCGGGGGAUAACUACGCGAAAGCGUGGCUAAUACCGCAUACGCCCUACGGGGGAAAGCGGGGGACCUUCGGGCCUCGCACUAUUGGAGCGGCCGAUAUCGGAUUAGCUAGUUGGUGGGGUAACGGCCUACCAAGGCGACGAUCCGUAGCUGGUUUGAGAGGACGACCAGCCACACUGGGACUGAGACACGGCCCAGACUCCUACGGGAGGCAGCAGUGGGGAAUUUUGGACAAUGGGGGCAACCCUGAUCCAGCCAUCCCGCGUGUGCGAUGAAGGCCUUCGGGUUGUAAAGCACUUUUGGCAGGAAAGAAACGGCACGGGCUAAUAUCCUGUGCAACUGACGGUACCUGCAGAAUAAGCACCGGCUAACUAC